rnacentral:rRNA from 1 species
CCUACGGGCGGCAGCAGUGGGGAAUAUUGCGCAAUGGGCGAAAGCCUGACGCAGCGACGCCGCGUGAGGGAUGAAGGUCUUCGGAUCGUAAACCUCUGUCAGCAGGGAAGAACGGUCACUGUGCUAAUCAGCAGUGACUUGACGGUACCUGCAAAGGAAGCACCGGCUAACUCCGUGCCAGCAGCCGCGGUAAUCCGGAGGGUGCGAGCGUUAAUCGGAAUUACUGGGCGUAAAGCGCUCGUAGGCGGUAUGUCAAGUCAAGGGUGAAAUCCCCGCGCUCAACGUGGGAACUGCCUUUGAAACUGGCAAACUGGAGUGUGUGAGAGGAUAGUGGAAUUCCAGGGGGAGGAGUGAAAUCCGUAGAUAUCUGGAGGAGCAGCAGUGGCGAAGGCGACUAUCUGGCACAUAACUGACGCUGAGGAGCGAAAGCGUGGGUAGCAAACAGGAUUAGAUACCCGGGUAGGC